rnacentral:rRNA from 1 species
CGGGACGGGUGAGUAACGCGUGGGUAACCUGCCUCAUACAGGGGGAUAACGAUUGGAAACGAUUGCUAAUACCGCAUAAGCGCACAGUACCACAUGGUACAGUGUGAAAAACUCCGGUGGUAUGAGAUGGACCCGCGUCUGAUUAGCUAGUUGGUGGGGUAGCGGCCCACCAAGGCAACGAUCAGUAGCCGACCUGAGAGGGUGACCGGCCACAUUGGGACUGAGACACGGCCUAG